UACAGAGGUCUCAAGCGUUGUUCGGAUUCAUUGGGCGUAAAGGGUGCGUAGGCGGCGCGGUAAGUCGGAUGUGAAAUCCCUCGGCUCAACCAAGGAAGUGCAUCCGAAACUGCUGAGCUUGAGUACUUAAGAGGAUCGCGGAAUUCCCGGUGUAGAGGUGAAAUUCGUAGAUAUCGGGAGGAACACCAGUGGCGAAGGCGGCGAUCUGGGAAGAUACUGACGCUGAGGUGCGAAAGCGUGGGGAGCGAACAGG
rnacentral:rRNA from 1 species